AUCGCUUCUCGGCCUUUUGGCUAAGAUCAAGUGUAGAAUUAGCUUUUAUGUAAAGGCUGAUAAGAUUUUACCCUUGUUUAGGGCAGGAGUUCUAGUGGGAUAAUUUUGGUUUUCUUUGCUGCUUACUAUCCCGCCCCCUGCACUUGGCAAUGCUUAGAGACAGUUUUGGUUGUCACAGCUGUGGGUCGGAGUUCUA